rnacentral:rRNA from 1 species
GAUGAACGCUGGCGGCGUGCCUAAUACAUGCAAGUCGAGCGAACAGAUGAGGAGCUUGCUCCUCUGACGUUAGCGGCGGACGGGUGAGUAACACGUGGAUAACCUACCUAUAAGACUGGGAUAACUUCGGGAAACCGGCGCUAAUACCGGAUAAUAUAUUGAACCGCAUGGGUCAAUAGUGAAAGACGGUUUUGCUGUCACUUAUAGAUGGAUCCGCGCCGCAUUAGCUAGUUGGUAAGGUAACGGCUUACCAAGGCAACGAUGCGUAGCCGACCUGAGAGGGUGAUCGGCCACACUGGAACUGAGACACGGUCCAGACUCCUACGGGAGGCAGCAGUAGGGAAUCUUCCGCAAUGGGCGAAAGCCUGACGGAGCAACGCCGCGUGAGUGAUGAAGGUCUUCGGAUCGUAAAACUCUGUUAUUAGGGAAGAACAAAUGUGUAAGUAACUAUGCACGUCUUGACGGUACCUAAUCAGAAAGCCACGGCUAACUACGUG